GAUGAACGCUGGCGGCGUGCCUAAUACAUGCAAGUCGAGCGGACGGACGAGAAGCUUGCUUCUCUGAUGUUAGCGGCGGACGGGUGAGUAACACGUGGAUAACCUACCUAUAAGACUGGGAUAACUUCGGGAAACCGGAGCUAAUACCGGAUAAUAUUUUGAACCGCAUGGUUCAAAAGUGAAAGACGGCCUUGCUGUCACUUAUAGAUGGAUCCGCGCUGCAUUAGCUAGUUGGUAAGGUAACGGCUUACCAAGGCAACGAUGCGUAGCUGACCUGAGAGGGUGAUCGGCCACACUGGAACUGAGACACGGUCCAGACUCCUACGGGAGGCAGCAGUAGGGAAUCUUCCGCAAUGGGCGAAAGCCUGACGGAGCAACGCCGCGUGAGUGAUGAAGGUCUUCGGAUCGUAAAACUCUGUUAUUAGGGAAGAACAUAUGUGUAAGUAACUGUGCACAUCUUGACGGUACCUAAUCAGAAAGCCCCGGCUAACUACGUG
rnacentral:rRNA from 1 species